AUUGAACGCUGGCGGCAGGCCUAACACAUGCAAGUCGAACGAGUGGCGGACGGGUGAGUAAUGUCUGGGAAACUGCCUGAUGGAGGGGGAUAACUACUGGAAACGGUAGCUAAUACCGCAUACCAUCGGAUUUGCCCAGAUGGGAUUAGCUAGGAGGUGGGGUAACGGCUUACCUAGGCGACGAUCCCUAGCUGGUCUGAGAUGAUGACCAGCCACACUGAAACGGAGACACGGUCCAGACUCCUACGGGAGGCAGCAGUGGGGAAUAUGGCACAAUGGGCGCAAGCCUGAUGCAGCCAUGCCGCGUGUAUGAAGAAGGCCUUCGGGUUGUAAAGUACUUUCAGCGGGGAGGCGUUACCCGCAGAAGAAGAACCGGCUAACUCCGUGCCAGCAGCCGCGGUAAUUC
rnacentral:rRNA from 1 species